rnacentral:lncRNA from 1 species
GGGAGAGGAGCACAGUGGCUAAAGCAUAAAAGAUAGAGCAGAGAACCAGAGAGAGAGAGAGAGAGAGAGGAAGCUUCUCCAAAAGUGGAAUCACAGCUGCUGCAAAACUUGAUUAACAAUUUAGUGUGUGUGUAGGAGGCGAGGAUACACGGAGGGACAGACGUCCAAUUUGCCUUCGUCCCUCUCUUUGCCAUUAACCGAAAAAAGCUAAAGAGUGAGUAAGAGCAGAAGUGCGGAGGAGAGGAAGAGAGGGAGAUUAGUGGGCAGCACUUGCUGCUGCUUGUCCACUCUCCUGUGUACAGUUCAUCAUACGACACACAAACACACACACACACCUUCACACACUUGAGCAUACGUUCCACUACGAGUGGCAUUCGUACACGGUUUGAUUUAUUAGCUCUUUUUCCUCCUUCCACCGUUUGAGUUGUGUAGGAGGAUCAUAAAUUCCGAUAAGAAAUUCCUCAAAUUGCUUCGAGCACAAAAUGCAUCAGAAGAUGAAAGAGAGAGACAGAGUAAAGUGUAUUAUUAACUGCAGAUCUUCCCUCUCAAGUGUAGACUGAUUUCGGCAUUGGCUCUCUUAUCGACUUGAUCCAACGUGUAGAAGCUCUAGGAGGAAGCACAAGAGAGACACUGAUCACGCCAAGGUGUAUUUGAGGCACUUCCCGCUAUUAAGCUCUUAGAAAAAUAAUAAUUCACAUUUAUCUUGAUCUUCUCUUGUGGAUCCUUUCCAUGCUGCACAUUGUACUUUUACAACAGUCAAGAAAUCUUUUGUUUCGUAUCCGAUUUUUCGAAGGAAAUGCAGGGCAGACAUCAGCCCCUUUCGGCACAAACAAAAAGAGUGAGGUGGAGGGGAAGAGGCAGCGUUAAGUUGCACAAAAUGAACUUCCUUCCGGGCGCUGUCUUCCGGUCUCGCCUGAAUGGUCGACUUCCACACAAUCCACCGAAGCCCUUGCCCCGACAUAGUCCGUCCUUCCUCCUAGGCGUAACCGACCGCCCGCCCACCUCUUACUGGCUGUACAGAAAACUUUUUCGGGGGCGCAAUCCCAGACGGUCGAAAAACCACGACGCCAAAAU